AUGAGAUCGUAUUUGAGUGGUUUGCUUUCAGCUCCAGUAGAGACCAGCUGCCUCUCACUCUUGAUAAUCUGGACCAGUUUGAACAUGAAAUGCUGAACAAGAAGAAAAAGCCUAAAGGCUCAUCAAAGGGAAUCCAGUUUAACAAGACAAGAGACAUAAAUUCUAUCCAGGAACUAAUCCGAGCAGAAGAGGAAGAGGAGAGCUUGUUAGAUUCCUAUUCAACACCUGCCAAAGUAAGAA